rnacentral:tRNA from 1 species
GGGGCUGGACCGCCCCUAUCGGUAGUUGUAGGAGGCUCUCGUCUUGACAGGACCGAAUGGCAUUCAAGAGGUCGAGAGUUCGAUUCUCUUCGGCUCCA